GAUGAACGCUAGCUACAGGCUUAACACAUGCAAGUCGAGGGCAGCACAGUGUAGCAAUACACGGGUGGCGACCGGCGCACGGGUGCGUAACGCGUAUCCAACUUUCCCGUUACUCAGGGAUAGCCUUCCGAAAGGGAGAUUAAUACCUGAUGGNGUUUGAAGUUCGCAUGUUCUUCAAACUAAAGAUUUAUCGGUAACGGAUAGGGAUGCGUGACAUUAGAUAGUAGGCGGGGUAACGGCCCACCUAGUCUACGAUGUCUAGGGGUUCUGAGAGGAAGGUCCCCCCACACUGGAACUGAGACACGGUCCAGACUCCUACGGGAGGCAGCAGUGAGGAAUAUUGGUCAAUGGCCGGAAGGCUGAACCAGCCAAGUAGCGUGAAGGAUGAAGGUUCUAUGGAUUGUAAACUUCUUUUAUAUAGGAAUAAAACCUCCCACGUGUGGGAGCUUGUAUGUACUAUAUGAAUAAGCAUCGGCUAACUCCGUG
rnacentral:rRNA from 1 species